GUCAGACAGUGAGACAGACCCAGCAGGAGAGGAGAAAAUGCAACAGAUCUACAUGCAGAGUGAUGGGCACUUUGAAGUGUUCACCACUGUCUUUUCACCAGAAGCUUGCAGAGCAAGAUCAAAAUACAGGCCCAGGGAAACAGACAAGGUAGUAGCAGCAGUCAACUAUAGACCUCACUGGCCAGAUGAGCUAAAUCUCUUCCAGGGUGAUGUCAUCCAAGUACUCUACAGGGAUGAGCCAUCCUGGUGGUAUGGCCGUCUGCAGAAUGGUUCUGAGGGGUACUUCCCCUCAGUGUGUGUGACCAAACUGAAUCAGAGAGAUGAUCAUGAGCCAACGAAAGCCAAUCUAAUCUCGUUACGGCGGCAUUCAUCCAAAGGUGCAGCUCCUGAUGACCAAUGCUGCUCAAGCGGGUGCAGCACUCCAAAGGUUCCCAGGCAUAGGAAAGAGGGUCUCUUCCGGGGUCUAGCACACGAGGCCUCCUCAGGCUCAGCCCACAGCUCCCCCAGCCUGUUGCACCGCCUUCUAUCCAAGGGCAACCGGAGGAGGAGUGAUACCCAGGCACCAGAUUCCACCGAUGGCUCCACCAACGUAGCAUUCGAACCCGACUGAUGUUUCUGAUAGAGAAUUGAGUCAUGGGUUUUCAAGCAUUUAUUCUGUGUUUGUUGCUGCUCUCACAACACAUCUUUAAAGUCACAAUGUUGCAUAAUUUACUCAGAUGUUUGCUUAUCCACUCAUUGUAGAUUAUCAAAGAGAAACCCACAAUCCAUAAAAAUACUACAUGUUUAAUAACUGAAAAUCUUUGACCAUUUUGUAGUUUGAACCUUUUUUUACCACUACAAUAUCUGAAGUCUGGCAAAGGUCUGUUGUGUAUAACCAAGUAUGGUCCCUUCGUUACCUUUUUUUCUUACUAGCCCAUUGUUGUUUGCAUUGUUGCUUAACUUUACAAUUAUUGAAAUUGUGUGUGUUUAUUAAUGUGCAUAUAUUUAUUAUAAAAUAAAAUGUAAAUGUACUUCUUCAUAGUAUUAAUGACAAGAUUUUAUAGAUUCCUUAACAUCGUGCCCAUCCAGUCUUUAGGAACUCACAAGCAAGACAUGCUCUACAUAUACUGCCUUAGG